AUGAACGCCGGCGGCGUGCCUCAUACAUGCAAGUCGAGCGAACAGAUAAGGAGCUUGCUCCUUUGACGUUAGCGGCGGACGGGUGAGUAACACGUGGGUAACCUACCUAUAAGACUGGGAUAACUUCGGGAAACCGGAGCUAAUACCGGAUAAUAUUUCGAACCGCAUGGUUCGAUAGUGAAAGAUGGUUUUGCUAUCACUUAUAGAUGGACCCGCGCCGUAUUAGCUAGUUGGUAAGGUAACGGCUUACCAAGGCGACGAUACGUAGCCGACCUGAGAGGGUGAUCGGCCACACUGGAACUGAGACACGGUCCAGACUCCUACGGGAGGCAGCAGUGGGGAAUCUUCCGCAAUGGGCGAAAGCCUGACGGAGCAACGCCGCGUGAGUGAUGAAGGUCUUCGGAUCGUAAAACUCUGUUAUUAGGGAAGAACAUACGUGUAAGUAACUGUGCACGUCUUGACGGUACCUAAUCAGAAAGCCACGGCUAACUACGUG
rnacentral:rRNA from 1 species